GACGAACGCUGGCGGCGUGCUUAACACAUGCAAGUCGAACGGAAAGGCCCUGCUUUUGCGGGGUGCUCGAGUGGCGAACGGGUGAGUAACACGUGAGUAACCUGCCCUUGACUUUGGGAUAACUUCAGGAAACUGGGGCUAAUACCGGAUAGGAGCUCCUGCUGCAUGGUGGGGGUUGGAAAGUUUCGGCGGUUGGGGAUGGACUCGCGGCUUAUCAGCUUGUUGGUGGGGUAGUUGCUUACCAAGGCUUUGACGGGUAGCCGGCCUGGGAGGGUGAACGGCCACAUUGGGACUGAGAUACGGCCCAGACUCCUACGGGAGGCAGCAGUGGGGAAUAUGGCACAGUGGGCGGGAGCGUGAGGCAGAGGCGCCGCGUGCGGGAUGACGGCCUUCGUGUUAUGAACCGCUUUCGCCUGAGACGAAGCGUGAGUGACGGUAAUGAGUAAAGAAGCACCGGCUAACUACGUG
rnacentral:rRNA from 1 species